CCUACGGGUGGCAGCAGUGGGGGAUAUUGCACAAUGGGGGCAACCCUGAUGCAGCGAUGCCGCGUGAGUGAAGAAGUACUUCGGUAUGUAAAGCUCUAUCAGCAGGGAGGAAAAUGACGUUACCUGACCACAAAGCCCCUGCGAACUCCGUCCCAGCAACCGCGGUAAUACGUAGGGGGCAAGCUGUAUCCGGAUUUACUGGGUGUAAAGUGAGCGUAGAUGGUUAUGUAAGUCUGGUGUGAAAGCCCCGGGCUCAACCUCGGGACUGCUUUGGAUACUGGGUCACUGGAGUACAGUAGGGGCAGGCAGAAUUCCAGGUGUAGCGGUGAAAGGCGUAGAGAUCUGGAGGAAUACCGGUGGCGAAGGCGGCCCGCUGGACGGAAACUGACGCUCAGGUGCGAAAGCGUGGGGAGCAAACAGGAUUAGAUACCCCUGUAGUC
rnacentral:rRNA from 1 species